GGGUGUUCUCUUUAUCCUUCACAGCUCCAUGUUAAACCAUCUAGGAACUGUGCACUCAGUGGAGCAGAACUGCCUUCACUAAAUGGAGGAUAACUAAUCUGCCUUAGGUGAAGGCUCUAUGGGUAACUGUACUCCUUUGCUAGAAUAUCCAAAUAAGCUCUUGAAUGAUUUGGUCCAAAACUAAGUAGGUCAAUUAUAUGGAGACAAAUCUGAUUUUCACUUAGUUUUGUAGUC
ensembl:misc_RNA 7SK 7SK RNA